AGGACAGCACAGUGGGGAGGGAGACCUCAGAGCAGGGACAGGUGACAACUGAAUGCCUCACCCCAGCACUGGCUGUAUUUUUUUUUCAGGCUUUGCUGGGAGAUCCCUGCUGUGCCAGGCAUGAACCGACUAGCUGCCAGAUCAUGAGAAGAGAUAGAAAACGGAGGUUCCCAGACAGGGGAGUCCCCCUGCUUCUCAACAAUGCGGUGGCCUACUCCCCACCCACACAGAGGGGAACCAUCUCCAGUGAGAACGUCUUCCAGGUCCAGCCCACCUCUUCCCUCAAAGGCAGGCCUGGGAGCUGCACUCACUCCAGCUGUCUGGCAUGACUUUCAAGGCCAAGGGCACCAGAUCAUCAAAGGAGGCAUCCAGGAUCACGGCACUAAUGUCCGGGUAGGACAUGGCUGCCCACGUAGCUGGUACCAGGAAAGGAAAGAAAAGAGAUGGCCUGAGUGCGCCUACAGUAGCAGGGUAAGAAGAAGGUGGGUACCAGUGAAGCCGCCGAUGGACCAGGCAUAGAGGAUGAUAUCCUGGGGCUGAAAGCCCA